UAUGCAAGUUUUGUAGAGUGUCACCUUA
rnacentral:piRNA from 1 species